GGCCGGUUAGCUUAGUGGUUUGAGUGCGGUGCUGACAACACUGAGGUCGUGGGUUCGAUUCCCGCUUGGCCC
rnacentral:tRNA from 1 species